rnacentral:rRNA from 1 species
GACGUAGGGGGCCAGCGUUGUUCGGAAUUACUGGGUGUAAAGGGUUCGUAGGCGGUGCGGCAAGUUGGGAGUGAAAUCUCUGGGCUUAACCCAGAGGCUGCUUCCAAAACUGCUGUGCUUGAGUGUGGGAGAGGCGCGUGGAAUUGCAGGUGUAGCGGUGAAAUGCGUAGAUAUCAGGAGGAACGCCAAUGGCGAAGGCAGCUCGCUGGGACGGUACUGACGCUGAGACGCGAAAGCGUGGGGAGCAAACAGG